GGGGCGUAGCUCAGUUGGGAGAGCGUUUGACUGGCAGUCAAGAGGUCAUGGGUUCGAUCCCCACCGUCUCC
rnacentral:tRNA from 1 species